UACGUAGGGUGCGAGCGUUAAUCGGAAUUACUGGGCGUAAAGCGUGCGCAGGCGGUUUUGUAAGUCUGUCGUGAAAUCCCCGGGCUCAACCUGGGAAUUGCGAUGGAGACUGCAAGGCUAGAAUCUGGCAGAGGGGGGUAGAAUUCCACGUGUAGCAGUGAAAUGCGUAGAGAUGUGGAGGAAUACCGAUGGCGAAGGCAGCCUCCUGGGCCAACACUGACGCUGAUGCACGAAAGCGUGGGGAGCAAACAGG
rnacentral:rRNA from 1 species